rnacentral:rRNA from 1 species
UACGGGGGGGGCAAGCGUUGUUCGGAAUUACUGGGCGUAAAGGGCUCGUAGGCGGCCAACUAAGUCGGAUGUGAAAUCCCCAGGCUUAACCUGGGAACUGCAUCCGAUACUGGAUGGCUUGAAUUCGGGAGAGGGAUGCAGAAUUCCAGGUGUAGCGGUGAAAUGCGUAGAUAUCUGGAGGAAUACCGGUGGCGAAGGCGGCAUCCUGGACCGAGAUUGACGCUGAUGAGCGAAAGCUAGGGGAGCAAACAGG